UACGUAGGGGGCCAGCGUUGUCCGGAUUAUUGGGCGUAAAGAGCGUGUAGGCGGUCCGGUAAGUCCGCUGUGAAAGUCGGGGGCUCAACCCUCGAAUGCCGGUGGAUACUGUCGGGCUAGAGUGCGGAAGAGGCGAGUGGAAUUCCUGGUGUAGCGGUGAAAUGCGCAGAUAUCAGGAAGAACACCCGUGGCGAAGGCGGUUCUCUGGGACGGUACUGACGCUGAGACGCGAAAGCGUGGGGAGCGAACAGG
rnacentral:rRNA from 1 species